GAACCCCACAGCGUAGUAACCAAGCAAGCCAGCGAAAGUCAAGAAAGCUCCAUACACACUGCCGCACGUUCAGUACACAGCAAAAUGGCGGAACCCAAAACGAAGUACGAUCGUCAGCUCAGAAUAUGGGGUGAGCAAGGACAGGCUGCACUUGAGAGAUCUAGUAUAUGCUUGUUGAAUUGUGGGCCAACAGGUUCAGAAACAUUGAAAAAUCUUGUUCUUGGUGGGGUUGGAAGUAUCACCAUUGUCGAUGGCUCAAAAGUUGAAGUGGGUGACCUUGGGAAUAACUUCAUGGUGGACGAAUCAUGUGUGGGACAAUCGAAGGCCAAAUGUGUGUGUUCAUUUCUUCAGGAGCUAAAUGAUGCCGUUAAAGCCAAGUUUAUUGAAGAGUAUCCCCAGGCAUUGAUUGAGUCAAAUCCAUCAUUCUUCUCACAGUUCACUCAGGUAGUGGCCACACAGCUGGUUGAAGAUUCAAUGGUGAAAUUGGACAGAAUCUGUCGAGAUGCAAAUGUUGCUCUGGUAUUUGCACGCUCAUAUGGUCUAACAGGUUUUAUUCGGAUCAGUGUGAAGGAGCAUACUGUGAUUGAGUCAAAGCCUGAUCACUUUUUGGAUGAUCUCCGGCUAAAUAACCCAUGGCCAGAGCUCAGAAGUUUUGCAGACACUAUUGAUUUGAACACAUCUGAUCCAGUCGUCCAUAAGCACACCCCUUACGUCAUCAUUCUCGUUAAGAUGGCAGAAGAGUGGGCAAAAAGUCAUGGUGGAUGCCUUCCAUCAACUAGAGAUGAGAAGAAACAAUUCAAGGACCUAAUUAAAGCCAGGAUGAUUGCAAUUGAUGAGGACAAUUAUAAAGAGGCAAUGGAAGCUUCAUUUAAAGUCUAUGCUCCUAGAGGAAUCAGUUCAGAGUUAGAGAAGAUAAUUAAUGAUGGUAGUGCUGAAGUUGGUUCAAGUUCAUCAGAGUUUUGGGUGACUGUGGCAGCUCUAAAGGAUUUCAUUGACAAUGAAGGGAAUGGGGAGGCACCUCUUGAGGGUUCAAUACCGGAUAUGACAUCAUCCACUGAGUUGUAUGUAAAUUUGCAGAAGAUUUACCAAGCAAAGGCUGUGGCAGAUUUUAUUGCUAUGGAGCAAAAAGUCAGGCAUAUCCUGAAAAUAAUUGGUAGAGAUCCAUAUAGCAUCUCAAAUGCUUACAUAAAAAGCUUCUGUAAAAAUGCAAGGAAACUCCGAGUUUGUAGGUAUCGGCCCAUUGAGGAUGAGUUCAACACCCCAGUCCAAGCAGAAUUACAGAAGUGUCUGACUGAUGAAGACUACAGUAACUGAGGGGGUUGAAGACCAAGAAGUGAAAGGGGGGAAAAGAAAAGAAAAACUGACCUUUGUUAAAGGACUGCUCUCAGGUUCAUAAAUUACAUUUGGGAUGCUUGAUCUAGAUAACAUUUCAGGAAAAGUAGUCCUAUUCUAUAGUAAAAGUGACUUCGGAGCUGGGUCUGACAUUGAUAUGCAUGUUUUAUCUAUUUGACUAGCUACUAAUGUGAAGUUUUCUUUCAAGGACUUAAAAGUUUUUUGGAGCUUCAUUAUAUAGAUCUGUCAUUGUCAAUGGCUUGGAAAGUCUGACCAGACUUAAUUUGAAACCUAGGUUUCUUUACUCAAUGGAACCAAAAUAUGAGUAAGGAGAAGAAGAAUUAGAAGAGUAGUUUCAUUAAGUUCAAAAUAGGUUACAUAUUAAGGAACCAGAAAUACCAGUACAAGUUUUCUUAAGUUUAUAGUCUGCUGUGGUUAUCCAUUCUCCCGGUUAUCUGCAGAAGUCAUCAUCUCUUAGAGCUCUGCACUGUGUAGGGAAGGCCCGUUGAUGGUUAAGAGAAAAAAAUGUAGGGGAAAGUAGUAGUACAGCAUAAAACUGAGGCCUCUUACCCGAAAACUGAGGUUGGAAGAAAUGAGUGAUUUCUGAGUCUAGUUUAUUGAGAAUGGUUGGAAAAACCCAAAAGGGAAAAAAGAAGUAUAUUUGUGCUAGGGAAUUGGGGUUUAAGGAUAACAUACUACUAUUUGUUUCUAGUAUUUGAAGUUGUAUCUCCUUAGUUGGCAUCCUUAUUGGAGGUUGUUUUAUUUUGUAUAUGCAAUUCAUAGGUGAGACUUUUUUUUCUCCCUGGUUGAGUUUUUUGAUCAUUCAUUCAAGUGGCAUCACCUCUUUUGAAAGCUUUCUGUUGCACAAAAUUAAGGACUGUGUAUGGGAUUUUCUGUUCAACAAUUUACAUAAUAAGUUACUCUCGUCUGUUUUGUUUUUAUUGUUGGCUCAGAGAGAUUGUUACAGAAAGGAACUGUUAAGACAUUCUGCUUGUUUCUAGUAAAUCAUUCAAAAAGCUAGGAUUAAGAGAAAUUGAUAUCGAUCUAUCAGCAUUUAACUUUUUUUUUUUUACUUUGUUUCCAGCACCUGCAAAACUUUAGGAGCUGAUUGCAAAUAGUUAGAUAUCUUACUGCUCUUUCUAGAUUUGUCACAUGUCACAUGUUCAGCAUUGUGAUUUCUCUUUAUUUGGCCUCAAAUUUUGUGUUAUAGUUAUGCUGCAGGGUUCUACAUUCUGCUUCGAGCUGCGGACCGUUUUGCUGCAAACUAUAAUAGUUUCCCUGGCCAAUUUGAGGGUGGGAUGGAUGAGGAUAUUUCCAGAUUGAAAAGUAUUGCGGUCAGCCUCCUUAGUGAUCUGGGCUGUAAUGGUUCAUCUUUAAUAGAAGAUCUUAUAAAUGAAAUGUGCCGGUAUGGUGCUGCAGAGCUUCACGCUGUGGCUGCCCUUAUUGGUGGAAUUGCAUCACAGGAAGUGAUUAAGCUCAUCACAAGGCAGUUUGUUCCUAUGUCUGGGACUUUCAUCUUCAAUGGCAUUGAUCACAAGUCUCAACUGUUACUGUUAUAAGUAGUUUCAGCGAUGGUAUGUCUUUGAUUACGUUUCUUUAGUUGUGGUACCAGAUUCGUGAAGGAUCUGAUGUGCAUUUCUAGUUAAUUCUUGAGCAGAUCAGAUUUCUCCACUUCUGAAAGCACAGUGCUUGAAAUUUAUAUUUGAAAGCUGGAAGAUGGACAUGCUCAGAUGGCUGAAUAGCGGAGGUUAUUUCGAUGGCUUUAAAUUUAUAUUUGCACCUUAUCCUUCUUUAUUUUUCCGCCCAUUUUGGUUGAGGGACAUUUCUGUACCUGGCCCAUGGUUGAUUAGUUGAGGACAACACAAGAAGAGUAUAGAGUGAACUGCUGAAGUCUAAAUUUGUGCAGUCGAUAUAAUGUAACUAGAGAUUUCAGCUCAAGGCUUUGUUGGAGCCGAGGGUAAUAGAACAAUCAGGGGCUGAAUGGUACACCCAAGGAAACAAAAUGGAAAUGAAUAUUGAAGGUUAUUAAGAGAAUUCCCUUUCUUCUCUC